rnacentral:rRNA from 1 species
CCCUUAGAUGUCCUGGGCCGCACGCGCGCUACACUGAUGCAUUCAACGGGUUUUACCUUGGCCGAGAGGCCUGGGCAAUCUUUUAAACCUGCAUCGUGAUAGGGAUAGAUUAUUGCAAUUAUUAAUCUUGAACGAGGAAUUCCUAGUAAACGCAAAUCAUCAAUUUGCAUUGAUUACGUCCCUGCCCUUUGUACACACCGCCCGUCGCACCUACCGAUUGAAUGGUCCGGUGAAGCCUCGGGAUAGUGGCCAGUUCACUUUAUUGGGAGUUGGCUGUGAGAACUUGUCUAAACCUUAUCAUUUAGAGGAAGGUGAAGUCGUAACA